ACUAGCGAGCCGCUGAUAUAUGGCAAAAAUGAAGGCAGAUAAACGAACUAAACGUAUAGAUGCCGAUUGCAGAGGCGAGCCCAAACCCCAGCCAUUGAAGGCUUGAAGCCAAACCUUUCUCCUCCUCCUAAACUUAAUACUAGAGCAGUUUCGGAGUCCAGAAAAUGGAGCCCCCUUCUCAUACGAAUCCAGUAGCCUCUACUUGAGUCCUUUGUCUCAACUUUUCUCUAUUGACUUUUCUCUCCCAACCAAACGAACCUCAGCCAAGACGACACGCACAGAAAGAGAUAUGGCGUUUAGAGGGAAGGAGAUGAUGAAGAAAGUGCUUAAGAACGGGAGGGGAGAAGAACUUGGCACCGGGACUCUUUGAAGAAGGGCAUACCGGACAGCAAGGUGGUGAUGGGCAGGGCCAAUCGCGGCCUCUACACUGGCCGCCACAUCCAGUUCGUCAAUGGCGUCAGCGAAGACGGCGGUAACAAAUUUCUUCUAGUCACACCAUUGGAUCCUCGCUAGACUUGACUUGAUAAUGGAAAAGGCUAUAUCGUGCUUGGAUAAAACGUGAAUACACCCACUUCUAUUUUUUCUGAGUGAAUACAUCCACUUGAAUAUUUCUGAUGAAGGUUUGGAUUGGGAUUUUACAAAGUGGCAUGUAGUGAUUGGUUUGUCCGGACAUCCAUACUAUAUGAUCUGGGUGAACUUGGAAGCCAAAUGUCCAGGAGAAGCGGCUCUUCAGUAACAUUUUAGACCACCAUAUUUGAGUUAAAGUCGCCACUAUGCCCUGAGCCGCAUAGACAAAGGCAGGUGGGAUUGAUGAAUACCUGCUGAAAACUCCUUGCCAAAAGAUGGACACAGAAAUGGGCCAAUUCUGAAAGAAAAGCUAAGAUUGAGAAGCUGUAUGAAGAGCUUGGGAAGAUGGAAGUUGUUUUGUUUUCACCAGAGGAUGAAGCCAAGUUCGAACAAGGUUUUAAAGAUCUGAAACUAGCUGACAGGGCAGCUUGUAGGGAAGCAAGGAGACGGAUCUACAGUUGGUCAGACAAACAGAGGCAGAUCGAGGAAGGACAAAUUAAUAGAAGGCCGCCAAGUGACUGAUAGGGAAGCUGAAAGAAUAGGGGAUGGAAGCUCACAUGGUGAUUUUCCUGAGCCGUUGGUUGCAAACUCCUAAGUUCGGCCUGUUCAGCUUCAAAAUUUUCCUGGCCAACGUCUACUCGAAAUUUUGAUUCUCUUUUAAGUUUGUUUCUGGAAGUAGUACUGCAUGCUUGCAUUAUCAGGACUGAGGGACCAAAACCGUUUUGGUAUGGAAACUAGCAAAGCAAUUAGAAUGGGUUUGAAUUUUCGGAAAUCUUGAAUACUGCCUUCUCCCUAUACACCUGAAACUAUGUGAUGGAGAAUAUAUUGGUUUUCCAUUCAAUCGCAAUGGUUGAUGAAUGAAUAGAAUAAAAAAGUAGCAAGGAUUUUGUUAUUACCAGAGUAAUUUCUCAUCAAUAUACAACCAUAUAUUUUAGAAAGAGAAUUGCUUUCUUUCCAAGUUGGGUGACGUGGACGUACGUGCUAUAUGUGGUAUUCAUUAUGUUCACACAAUGAACUUAACUACGAGUUUACUUUUUCUCGAGUGAGGAAAUAUUGGAAAAGCCCGGUGACGCAAUCCUAGUGAACGAUGCACCCGAAGAUGAAGGUGUGGGCGAGAUCAAAGAUCCAGUAGUACUUCAGAUGGUAU